UGAUAAACCCAGAGGCGAAAUGAAAGUGAAAGGCCGGCCUCGAGCCGGUCGCAGGGAAGAUGCGCGGGCGUCGUCAGACGCCCCGCCGCAUUCCCGAGGCGUUUCGAGAAAGCCCCCGUGCGAUUAUCGAGACGCACUGAGAGCGUACACGCUGGGACCCGAAAGAUGGUGAACUAUGCCUGGUCAGGUCGAAGUCAGGGGAAACCCUGAUGGAGGACCGAAGCGAUUCUGACGUGCAAAUCGAUCGUCCGAACUGGGUAUAGGGGCGAAAGACUAAUCGAACUAUCUAAUAGCUGGUUCCAUCCGAAGUUUCCCUCAGGAUAGCUGGCGCUCGAGAAACAUGACGGUUUUCGGACCGCCAUUCGCACAGUCUCAUCCGGUAAAGCGAAUGAUUAGAGGCAUUGGGGCCGAAAUGGCCUCAACCUAUUCUCAAACUUUAAAUGGGUGAGAUCUCCUUCUUGCUCGAAGAUGAAGUAGGAGCUCGGAUGGGAGUGCCAAGUGGGCCAAUUUUGGUAAGCAGAACUGGCGCUGUGGGAUGAACCAAACGUCGAGUUAAGGCGCCCAAUGAACGCUCAUCGGAUACCAUAAAAGGCGUUGGUCGCUCAGGACAGCAGGACGGUGGCCAUGGAAGUCGGA
rnacentral:rRNA from 2 species